AUUAUUCUUCACAAGAAAAAGUUGAUGGAAGAUUUUUAGUCCAUCCUCCCCACCAACAAGAACCACUCAAUCCAGUACCCCCCCUAGUUUUCUCUGAGAUGGCCAAGAAUUCUCCACAGCUGAUAGCAACUCUAUUCCUCCUCCUGCUUAUCUCCACAGGGUUUAUUGCAGAAUCAUCUUCUUCCUUGAGCAGCACUGUAAAUGAAAAGCUUGAAGGCCUUCUUCAGCAGGUAUCUUGCAGGCAAAACAGUACUGACUGUGUACAGAUCUGUGGCAAUUACUGUCAAUCUCUCUGUGGUCAUUCAUGUCCUCUUAUGAGAUGUGAUAAUGGAAGCUGCUUCUGUUCCUGUAAUUGAUCACCAAAACCCUAAACUUAACAAUCUGCAACACAUGACAGGGUCAGUAGAAGAAUAAUUUUUAUCAACAGUUCAUUAGUUAUUUGAAGAAUCAGUGAUUCAGUUGCAAGUAUAGGAAUUAGGAAGUAAAGUUUGUUAAUUGUUAUAAUUAUUUUUUAUUAUAUUGUUCAUACCAAAAUCAUUUAGCUAUAUAUAUUGUUCUUAUACCAAGUGUUUAGAUUGUUUA